CGGGCGGCGGGGAGCGGGCGGGGGCCCGGCGGGCUCCGGGCCGGCCGUGGAUGAGCACCAUGCGGCUGCUGCUGCUCGCCCUGCUCUUCUCCUCCUCCUUCGCCCGCGCCGGCUGCGACCCCAAGAUCGUCAACAUCGGCGCGGUGCUGAGCACCAAGAAGCACGAGCAGAUCUUCCGCGAGGCGGUGAACCAGGCCAACAAGCGGCACGGCACCUGGAAGCUGCAGCUCAACGCCACCUCGGUCACGCACAAGCCCAACGCCAUCCAGAUGGCCCUCUCCGUCUGCGAGGACCUCAUCUCCAGCCAGGUCUAUGCAAUAUUAGUUAGUCACCCUCCUGCUCCCAACGAUCACCUAACACCAACACCUGUAUCAUACACAGCUGGCUUCUACAGGAUCCCUGUCAUUGGUCUGACAACACGCAUGUCUAUAUAUUCUGAUAAGAGCAUCCACCUGUCCUUUUUGCGCACGGUCCCACCAUACUCUCACCAGGCCAACGUCUGGUUUGAGAUGAUGAGAGUCUUCAACUGGAAUCACGUCAUUCUGAUAGUCAGCGACGACCACGAAGGUCGUGCUGCACAAAAGAAGCUGGAGACCCUCUUGGAGGAGAGAGAGUCCAAGAGUAAAAAAAGGAACUAUGAAAACCUCGACCAACUUUCCUAUGACAACAAGCGAGGACCCAAGGCUGAGAAAGUGCUUCAGUUUGACCCCGGGACCAAAAAUGUGACGUCGCUGCUGCUGGAGGCUAAGGAGCUGGAGGCUCGCGUCAUCAUCCUCUCUGCCAGCGAGGAUGAUGCGGCAACGGUGUACAGAUCAGCAGCCAUGCUCAAUAUGACGGGCUCCGGCUACGUGUGGCUGGUGGGGGAACGGGAGAUCUCGGGCAAUGCCCUGCGCUACGCCCCUGAUGGAGUCAUCGGCUUGCAGCUCAUCAAUGGGAAGAACGAGUCAGCCCACAUCAGCGACGCUGUCGCGGUGGUGGCCCAGGCCGUGCAUGACCUGUUUGAAAAGGAGAACAUCACCGACCCGCCGCGGGGCUGCGUGGGCAACACCAACAUCUGGAAGACGGGGCCUCUUUUCAAGAGGGUGUUAAUGUCCUCCAAGUACUCGGAGGGCGUCACCGGCCGGGUAGAAUUCAAUGAGGAUGGGGACAGGAAGUUUGCCAACUACAGCAUCAUGAACCUGCAGAACCGCAAACUGGUCCAGGUUGGGAUUUACAACGGAAGCCAUGUCUUGACCAAUGACCGGAAGAUUAUCUGGCCAGGGGGAGAAACUGAGAAACCUCAGGGCUAUCAGAUGUCGACCAAAUUGAAGAUUGUGACGAUCCACCAAGAGCCCUUUGUGUAUGUGAAGCCCACGCAAGCAGAUGGGACAUGCAGGGAGGAGUUCACCAUCAACGGUGACCCUGUCAAAAAGGUCUUCUGCACGGGGCCCAACGAGACCAUCCCAGGCCGCCCCACGGUGGCACUGUGUUGUUACGGCUUCUGCAUCGACCUGCUCAUCCGCCUGGCGGGGGUGAUGAACUUCACCUACGAGGUUCACCUGGUGGCUGAUGGUAAAUUUGGUACCCAAGAGCGGGUAAACAACAGCAACAAGAAGGAGUGGAACGGGAUGAUGGGCGAGCUGCUGAGCGGGCAGGCGGACAUGAUUGUGGCUCCCCUCACCAUCAACAACGAGCGGGCACAGUACAUCGAGUUCUCCAAGCCCUUCAAGUACCAGGGUCUGACCAUCCUCGUGAAGAAGGAAAUCCCCCGCAGCACGCUGGACUCAUUCAUGCAGCCCUUCCAGAGCACGCUUUGGCUGCUGGUGGGGCUGUCUGUGCAUGUGGUGGCGGUGAUGUUGUACCUCUUAGACCGAUUCAGCCCAUUUGGCCGCUUCAAAGUGAACAGCGAGGAGGAGGAAGAAGAUGCCCUGACACUCUCCUCGGCCAUGUGGUUCUCCUGGGGAGUCCUGCUGAACUCUGGCAUCGGAGAAGGUGCUCCCCGGAGUUUCUCUGCUCGUAUUCUUGGCAUGGUGUGGGCUGGCUUUGCUAUGAUUAUUGUGGCUUCCUACACUGCCAACCUGGCUGCCUUCCUGGUGUUGGACCGACCUGAGGAGAGAAUUACAGGCAUCAACGACCCCCGGCUGCGCAACCCCUCCGAUAAGUUCAUUUAUGCCACGGUGAAGCAGAGCUCGGUGGACAUCUACUUCCGACGGCAGGUGGAGCUGAGCACCAUGUACCGGCACAUGGAGAAGCACAACUACGAGAGCGCUGCCGAAGCCAUCCAGGCUGUGCGGGACAACAAGCUCCAUGCCUUCAUCUGGGACUCGGCGGUGCUGGAGUUUGAAGCCUCCCAGAAGUGUGACCUGGUGACGACGGGGGAGCUUUUCUUCCGCUCCGGCUUUGGGAUUGGGAUGCGCAAGGACAGCCCGUGGAAGCAGAACGUCUCCCUGGCCAUCCUCAAGUCCCACGAGAACGGCUUCAUGGAGGAUUUGGACAAGACUUGGGUGAGGUAUCAGGAGUGUGAUUCCCGUAGCAAUGCCCCAGCAACACUCACCUUUGAAAAUAUGGCAGGUGUGUUUAUGCUGGUGGCUGGAGGUAUUGUUGCCGGGAUAUUUUUAAUAUUCAUAGAAAUAGCUUACAAAAGGCAUAAGGACGCGCGGAGGAAGCAGAUGCAGCUGGCGUUUGCGGCCGUUAAUGUGUGGAGGAAAAACCUGCAGAGAGAACUGAGAAGGAGGAGCAAAUGUAUCCCCGAGCAUGCUCUACGCACCAGCGGGAUACAUUUUGGUUACCCCCGUGCGGUAGCAGAGCCAGACCUGGUCACUCCGUCCCCCGUCGGCAAGGUCACACUCAUUGGCACGAAAGCAAUUGGGGAGGAAUCGUUGUCAGCGCCCGCCGCCGAGCGCGGCCGGUCCCCACGGCUCGCUGCCCCCGCACCGUGGCGGCUGGUGCUCCCAGCCUGCGCCAACCAGGAUAGAAAAAGUGGUAGAGCAGAACCUGACCCUAAAAAGAAAGCCACUUUUAGGUCCAUCACCUCCACCCUGGCCUCCAGCUUCAAGAGACGUAGGUCCUCCAAGGAUACGCCCUGCAGAAUGGUCCCUCAGGAGUGCCAGAGAGACAGGCUGGCACCAUGGAGCCAAGACAGCCCUGGGAAGCUGCCACCCCACUCUGAACGUCCUAGCGCCCACCAUCACCCGAGCUGCACAGCCUCUCCGCGGCACAUCAUCCCCACCGCCCCAGGAGGAGAUGCAUGUGUUCCCCAUAGGCAGCUCCUGCAACUCGAAUAGCACUCGCAGAGCUGACGUACUGCCAUCCAUCGCAGCCACCCACGCUACUGCAACCCCACAGAAGCCAUGUGAGACGCAUAAACCACACAGACACCUUCCAAGUCGGCACAUUUCGUACAGACACGUAACGAGACGCACAGAUCCCUUAGCCCCCACUGCAGACGUCAUCAGCCCCCGCAGCCCCACUGCCAGCCCGCGGGCCCCCAGACACAGCACGACACACGUCCCACGUCACCGCCAAGCGAGGGCCCCGCCAGCAUGGGGACGAUGCCAGAGCUGGUCGAGAAUCGAGGGGGUUCAUGGAAAAGGUCACCUUUUCAGUGAAAGAUCAGCCAUUCCAAAAUCAAGUGCUUUUUGGCUGAAAAAGAACCUAGUUUUUGGCCCCAAACGAACAAAUGUAGGCCAAAGACAACUAUAUUUUUUUUUUAAAGGAAAGUUGACAUUUUCUACAGCAAGAUUGCAUUUAGCUGGAAUCCUAAUACUUAACUGAAAAAAAAAAAAAAAAAGAAACCCAAAAUUCUUCCAGAAAAUCUUCCACCAGCCAGGGACUACCAUACGAGCCCAGAUUAGGUUGAAGUCAUUUUUAAAGACAUAUUAAGUUCUUGUCUAUAUUUUCUUCCUGGUGUCAUUUAAAGUUUUUGGUGCCUUCACUUCACUUCCAUACCUUAACAUGUUUGAGUCUCUUCUACGCAAUACCAUCCCACCGACAUCACUGGCCAGCUCAACCUCUCCGACCCCUCUGUCAGCACUGUGGUGUGACCUGCUCCCCGGGGGCCAUCAGCCCUUGCCCGACACAGCGGGAAGGCACAGCCAGGACUGCCUGUCAAGGGACACUGAUGGGUUCUUCUGGGUGAGACGGGAGGAAAGCAUCCUUCAUCCAUACACAGUGACUUCAUUAUAUAUCUCCCUCCCUCCCUAGGCCUGCUGCCAUACUCACGCCCCAAAACGCACGGUGGAACCAGGACAGGGUUUGGACUUCACUGUACAGAGAUAAUCGCUUCCAACCAGUGCUGUUGUUGAUCAGUAUUGCCACUGGCCAGCUACGUGCAAGGGGAAAGGACUUCGAAGGCAUGUGGUGUCUGCUCUCCCACAGUAGCAGGGAAGAGCUGGUGCCAGACUGCAAACCUGUGCUUCACCUUGCAGGCUCCGUGUUCUCCGCACGUGUGUGGCUCUCGGAGCACCCGGAGCUGUGCUGGUGGAGCAGCCUGUGUAGUUCGGCAGCCCAGGGAUGUGCUUCUGCCGUGCCAUGCUCCACCACCACCACAGCAGGGCUGGGAGACGUGCGCUCUGCUCUUGGCCAAGGGAUGAGCCCCCCCGGUCCUCCCCUCCAUCAGCCUAUGGUACAACUGAACGUGGUGCUUACAGCACGCGGUCAGACAAGAUCCUGGCUCCCCAUAUCUCUGCACACCAGCUGUCCCCAAGGCCUGGCCACGGCCAGCACGUAGCUCCCACACUGCAGCCAUCCUGGCCAGGAGACACAGCAAAACAGGUCCUGGCUCAGGAGGAGGCGACCAAACAAGACUGCCUGGAGCCCUCCUCCUGUGGGCACUGUGCCCGCGUGCCAGCCCCCCAAGCUCCCUCCAGGCAAGCACCGUGAGUGGCUGUGGACACCCCAGAGCUGGGGAGCAGAAAUCCUGCCUGCAAUUUGGUACCAGGCCCCAGCAUCGAGAACCGCCUUCUCCUUGCCCCAGCCAAGCAGAGGGGGCAGACGGGGCCAGCAGGAUUUUCGGAGGGCAGCUGGGGUCUGAGAGCAUCGUCCCACUGGCUGCAGUGGUUCCAUCAAGUUCAUCUUGCUCCAGCUGAGAAAUCGAGCCCAUUCGACUUUAUACGUCAGUGUAACAUUAAUACCAAGUUUUUGCAAGAGCUCAGUAAAGUCUAGACUGGAUCACGGGCUGGUUUUAUUGCCUCUGUCUGUCUCUGCCUGCCG